rnacentral:rRNA from 1 species
UACAGAGGUCCCGAGCGUUGUUCGGAUUCACUGGGCGUAAAGGGUGCGUAGGUGGUGAGGUAAGUCGGAUGUGAAAGCCCCGGGCUCAACCUGGGAACGGCACUCGAUACUGCGGAGCUCGAGUACGGAGAGAGGGGGGUGGAAUUCCAGGUGUAGCGGUGAAAUGCGUAGAGAUCUGGAGGAACACCGGUGGCGAAGGCGGCCCCCUGGUUCGAUACUGACGCUGAGGUGCGAAAGCGUGGGGAGCAAACAGG